CCAUGAAGAAAAAGUUUUCUAUUUUAUGCAUUGGCGCCCGCAAAUGACGGCUCGAUUGAAGGCGAUUUCGGUUUCGGUUUCUGACUGCGCAAAGCGCCACCUGUUUCCUGCAGCAAGUGUCAUGGCGACUUCCUGUUUACCUUUCUGGCUCCAACGCGUGCUUUCAACUUCCAAACUUCUGCGCUGUUCUCCGUGACAUUGUGAAAUCUAUAUGGAUUUAUACGUGGUGAUCAUAUCUAGUACCAUCCGGAACAUCAAGCAUCAAUAUUUGAUACGCGACACUUUGCCUACUGGUCGUCAGCAGCUCCCAUAAAGGUGAUUCGCACAGAUCAUGGCUUGAAGCCGUCUGCUGCUUCAGUUUCUUACGCUUGGAUCUUCAGCAAAGGUGAACUUUGCUCGGGAGAUUGCGGCGCC
rnacentral:lncRNA from 1 species